AAAAUUAUACAACUUUCAGCAACGGAUCUCUUGGCUCUCGCAUCGAUGAAGAACGCAGC
rnacentral:rRNA from 1 species